AGCUUUGUGCUGUGGCGGUAUUAUAGCUUAUGAGGUUUAACCAAGGCACUGUCAUUUCUUAUUGAAAACUUUACCCUCGACCUUGCUCUCCUGAUUUGUAAUCUAAUCAGUCACAGCAAUUUUUGAUAAUUUUCUUCAGAG